AAACAGGACACAAUUGGAGAAACUGGUUAUUUUACCAAGGCUUUGACUGGAAUGGUGCACUUUCCUUUAAGGAUCAAACAUGACUUAUGGAGCCAAUUAAAUCCCCUUGGGAAAACUGGCCUCAUUGCUUGUCUACACAGUUCCUGUCCAGGGUUCCUGACUUACGGUAAGUAACAAAUGUCACUUUCUGGGAGGCCCAGGAGCCCCAAGUUUAUCUCAGAACCUCAAAAGGAGAGGAAUUCACCCAACUCAUAGGUAUUCGAUGGUACAAAUCCAUGGCUGGGCUUGGCUUUAUAAAAGUCUUAUCUGAGAUUCCUUUUAUGGAACAAAGUUCCAUCAAAGCCAACUUAAAAGCUUGUGUAAAAAAUAUUAUUCUUGCUAUACUAUAUACAAAUAAGCAGGCCAAGUAUAACAAAGCAAAUCAGUCUUACCAUGUUCUGUCUUUAAUAAAAAUGGGAAACUCGAGAAAGAAAAAUUUUGUUUCGAAAACUAAAUUUAGAUUCUAGUCUUACCUAAUGUUUUUCAAUUUUUAUUAUUUUCUAGAGGUGGGACUGAAUUCUAAUUUUUAUUAUUUUCUAAAGGUGGGACUGAAUUCUAAUUUUUCUUGGCUACAAGUCUUCAAAAUAAUGUUUUCAAUUUUUUUCCUUCCCCCUGCCAUUUUUCCUAUCUGGAGUCACUGAAAACUAAGCUGUGUUUUCAUAAAGCCCUGUGAACUGAAGCCAGACAACUUAAACUUCAGAAGAAAGUAACAGCAACCUAUUUACAUACAUAAGCCAGUCUCAUACCUGCCUACUGAUGUAUGGACUUCAGAGUAAUGUGGCCUACACCAAUAUUUCAGGAUUGUUCUUUUGUUUGUUGUUGUUUUUCUCCCUUCCUCUCCCUAUUUUCUCUUCACAGGAUGUGAGACUUCACAACCUGCUAAAAAUGAACUUUCCUAAUAACUCGGGACCUACCCAUCUAGGAAUAAACCAUCCUAUUCAUGACAGUGCCUGUGAAAGAUAAAGGAGAAAGAAUCAGGGUUGGAGAACUGGAAAAGUCUUGGCCAACCAAAUAGGCAACCCUGCAGCAAAGAUUGCCCAUUAGAAGAGUCAAAUGCUAGGAAGAAAUUGCAAACCCUACUAUUCUCACUGUGCUCAAACUUCGACUAGGAACUUCCACAAAGAGUGUGGCCUUGGCUUGAACAUUGCAGCAGCAGAUUAUGUAGGUGCUGAACUUGGAGUUUUGCACUUCUCACAGCUGACAGCAAAUUCUUUCUUCAAGGGAGACCUGAGCAGUCCUCCAUAUCUGCCAAAUUACUGCAUAGGAACAAAAAGGAGCCCUCCAUUCAUCUAAGAAGCAAAAUGAACUAGCAGAGAGAGCUUUGGCAUCAGGCAAAUCUGAUUGUAAAUACUUCUAGCAUAUAGUUGCUCUUACAUUGGUAUGUUGCCUAUUGUUUCAGAGUAUUACUUUCCUUGUCUAUAAUGGGAAAAUAAUAAUAAUUAUCUUAUGGUUAUUUGUUGAAUACAUGGGUAAAGUUAUUAUGAGGAUUAAAUAAGAUAACACUUGGGAAUAGCCUAAUAGAGUGUUUAGCACAUAAUGGAUGUUCAAUGGAUAUAUUAAAGUAAUAAAUUGCCCUAAUUUCUUAUUUGCAAAAGUUAAGAGACUCUGGUCACAACUUCUGAUGGAAUAUCUUAAAUAAUUCAUUUUUUUCCUAGACAUUUUAUGCACAAUAAUGGGACUGUGAUACACACAUUACCCCUUCUGCCUGAAGUGACUUGACUUUCCCUCUUUGUCACUCUGCAAGGUCCAUUGUCCAUUCUGAAGCAUUAAAUAACUAGUAUAAUAGGUCAUGAGGGAAAUUCCUGGCAUCUUAAUUUAAGUAUAUUACUUUGGCUGCAAGUCAAAGUUAUCAUUAUUAGGAUUUCUGGCAUCAGAACAAUCACUUGUAAUUCUUUCUGGAAGAAUUUUCUUGGUUAAGCAAUGCUAAUGAAAUCCUACUUAAACCAGCUAUAUUCUCUGGCAAUUUCCCAUCUAUGUAUGCACUGAUAAAUACUUGGAAGAUUCUCAUUCCUCAUUGAUUUAUUGACAUAAAAUCAUUUUGGUUCACUAUUACAAUUUUCAUUUCAUCUACAAUUAACCCAUUAAAUUUAUUAUUCCAAUUAUUCUUUACUCCUGGCACCUUAUGUUACUAUAACUGUUAUUUUAUACUAUUAUUAACACCUAAAUCUAUGAUACUGAAAAGGGUAAUAAUAAAUUUACAGUAGUUAUUUCCACAUCACCUUAGUUUGGGACAUAUUAUUGUUUACAACUUUACGUUACUACAGUAAUCUUGCUGUAUAAGUAUCUGUGUACAAGUUCUUUAUUUUUUACGGAAACAUUGAAAUAUUUAUUUGGAUUUUUUUCAGAGUUGGAUUGCUGGAUCAGGAAAUAUUAAUAUUUUAAAGACAUUUAUUACCAAACCAGUAUCAAAAAUAUCACUUUGGUUGACCAUGAUACCAGCAAUGGAUACAUGUAUAUGUUUCCCUGAAAUGCUAUGAAUACUGUUUUUCUGAGGCAUGAAGAGGUAAGCAGCAACACAAAGACUAGCAUCAAUGCCUCCUCUUUUUUUAUCUAGUGCUUUCAGCACAACCUAUCAUAUGAGCAAAAAGUAUACAUUAAUCUAGUAGAUGCACCUGCCUAUUUUAUCUUGUGGUUUAACUUCCAAGAACACUUCCUAAAAAUAUACAAUGUCUUAGCACCAAUUACAAUGUUAUAAUUAAUUUAUCCUUAAUUUUCUGAAUAAAGUAAUUUUCAGGCACAUCUUUCCAUGGAUUCGGUUUGUAGUUCUGGCUAAUUGCAUGGGCUCAGAAACCAGACGGAAUCUCAAGUCUCCUACUUAGUAGAUAUGUGAGAGGCACAGGGGUUACUCAGUCUUUCUGCACUUCAAUUUUCUUCCUAUGAAAUGGGUUUGACAAUGGCAUAGAAUUUAGAGUAUUAUGACACAUAAAUGAGUUAAUAUAAAGAAACUACUUAAAAAGUAUCUAAUAUACAGUAAAAUACCAAUAAAUUCUAGCUGUAUUUGGGAGCUCCCUAAAUAUGUAGUAGGGAGAUAUAUAUUUAAUAGGCUUUGUCUUUGUUUAAAAUGAUUGAUUGAUUAGGCCAUUUAUGUUGUAAUAUAUGUUUAACACCAUGUAGAUCAGGGAAGACAAAUAUAUUUCAUGUCCCAUUGUCAUUUGACUGGUAAUGGCUGCCUGGAACACUGUGCUGAAAAGGAUUGUGUGUCCACAUCUAUGACUAGAGAGAGUCAUAUUUAAUUAGCAGUGUCAGCCACAGGUGCAGAAG
rnacentral:lncRNA from 10 species